UGAGGGAAUAUUGGGACAAUGGAGGCAACUCUGAUCCAGCCAUGCCGCGUGAAGGACUAAGGCCCUAUGGGCUGUAAACUUCUUUAGACGCAGAGCAAUAAGGGCCACGUGUGGUCCGAUGAGAGUAUGCGUAGAAUAAGCAUCGGCUAACUCCGUGCCAGCAGCCGCGGUAAUACGGGGGAUGCGAGCGUUAUCCGGAUUCAUUGGGUUUAAAGGGUGCGUAGGCGGUCCGGUAAGUCAGCCGUGAAAAGCCCCCGCUCAACGGGGGUCGUGCGUUUGAUACUGUUGGACUGGAAUGCGGAUGCCGUGGGAGGAAUGUGUGGUGUAGCGGUGAAAUGCAUAGAUAUCACACAGAACACCGAUUGCGAAGGCAUCUCACGAAUC
rnacentral:rRNA from 1 species